CAUAAUGGAUAGCAAUAUCUAUGGUGGCGACCGGCGCACGGGUGCGUAACGCGUAUGCAACCUACCUUUAACAGGGGGAUAACACUGAGAAAUUGGUACUAAUACCCCAUAAUAUCAUAGAAGGCAUCUUUUAUGGUUGAAAAUUCCGAUGGUUAGAGAUGGGCAUGCGUUGUAUUAGCUAGUUGGUGGGGUAACGGCUCACCAAGGCGACGAUACAUAGGGGGACUGAGAGGUUGAACGGCCACAUUGGGACUGAGACACGGCCCAGACUCC
rnacentral:rRNA from 1 species